AGUGAACGCUGGCGGUAGGCCUAACACAUGCAAGUCGAACGGCAGCACAGUAAGAGCUUGCUCUUACGGGUGGCGAGUGGCGGACGGGUGAGGAAUACAUCGGAAUCUACUUUUUCGUGGGGAUAACGUAGGGAAACUUACGCUAAUACCGCAUACGACCUACGGGUGAAAGCAGGGGAUCUUCGGACCUUGCGCGAUUGAAUGAGCCGAUGUCGGAUUAGCUAGUUGGCGGGGUAAAGGCCCACCAAGGCGACGAUCCGUAGCUGGUCUGAGAGGAUGAUCAGCUACACUGGAACUGAGACACGGUCCAGACUCCUACGGGAGGCAGCAGUGGGGAAUAUUGGACAAUGGGCGCAAGCCUGAUCCAGCCAUACCGCGUGGGUGAAGAAGGCCUUCGGGUUGUAAAGCCCUUUUGUUGGGAAAGAAAAGCAGCAGGUUAAUACCCCGCUGUUCCGACGGUACCCAAAGAUUAAGCACCGGCUAACUUCGUG
rnacentral:rRNA from 1 species